GAUGAACGCUAGCGGGAGGCCUAACACAUGCAAGCCGAGCGGUAUUUGUUCUUCGGAACAGAGAGAGCGGCGUACGGGUGCGUAACACGUGUGCAACCUACCUUUAUCAGGGGAAUAGCCUUUCGAAAGGAAGAUUAAUACUCCAUAAUAUAUUGAAUGGCAUCAUUCGAUAUUGAAAACUCCGGUGGAUAAAGAUGGGCACGCGCAAGAUUAGAUAGUUGGUGAGGUAACGGCUCACCAAGUCAAUGAUCUUUAGGGGUCCUGAGAGGGAGAUCCCCCACACUGGUACUGAGACACGGACCAGACUCCUACGGGAGGCAGCAGUGAGGAAUAUUGGACAAUGGGUGAAAGCCUGAUCCAGCCAUCCCGCGUGAAGGAUGACGGUCCUAUGGAUUGUAAACUUCUUUUGUAUAGGGAUAAACCUAGAUACGUGUAUCUAGCUGAAGGUACUAUACGAAUAAGCACCGGCUAACUCCGUGCCAGCAGCCGCGGUAAAG
rnacentral:rRNA from 1 species